rnacentral:rRNA from 1 species
AGAGUUUGAUCCUGGCUCAGAUUGAACGCUGGCGGCAUGCCUUACACAUGCAAGUCGAACGGCAGCAUGAUCUAGCUUGCUAGAUUGAUGGCGAGUGGCGAACGGGUGAGUAAUACAUCGGAACGUGCCCUGUAGUGGGGGAUAACUAGUCGAAAGAUUAGCUAAUACCGCAUACGACCUGAGGGUGAAAGUGGGGGACCGCAAGGCCUCAUGCUAUAGGAGCGGCCGAUGUCUGAUUAGCUAGUUGGUGGGGUAAAGGCCCACCAAGGCGACGAUCAGUAGCUGGUCUGAGAGGACGAUCAGCCACACUGGGACUGAGACACGGCCCAGACUCCUACGGGAGGCAGCAGUGGGGAAUUUUGGACAAUGGGCGAAAGCCUGAUCCAGCAAUGCCGCGUGUGUGAAGAAGGCCUUCGGGUUGUAAAGCACUUUUGUCCGGAAAGAAAUGGCUCUGGUUAAUACCUGGGGUCGAUGACGGUACCGGAAGAAUAAGGACCGGCUAACUACGUGCCAGCAGCCGCGGUAAUACGUAGGGUCCAAGCGUUAAUCGGAAUUACUGGGCGUAAAGCGUGCGCAGGCGGUUGUGCAAGACCGAUGUGAAAUCCCCGAGCUUAACUUGGGAAUUGCAUUGGUGACUGCACGGCUAGAGUGUGUCAGAGGGGGGUAGAAUUCCACGUGUAGCAGUGAAAUGCGUAGAGAUGUGGAGGAAUACCGAUGGCGAAAGCAGCCCCCUGGGAUAACACUGACGCUCAUGCACGAAAGCGUGGGGAGCAAACAGGAUUAGAUACCCUGUAGUCCACGCCCUAAACG